rnacentral:rRNA from 1 species
UACAGAGGUCUCAAGCGUUGUUCGGAUUCAUUGGGCGUAAAGGGUGCGUAGGUGGCGCGGUAAGUCGGGUGUGAAAAUUUCGGAGCUUAACUCCGAAACUGCAUUCGAUACUGCCGUGCUUGAGGACUGGAGAGGAGACUGGAAUUUACGGUGUAGCAGUGAAAUGCGCAGAUAUCAGGAGGGACACCGGUGGCGAAGGCGGCACUCUGGGCCGGUACUGACGCUGAGGAGCGAAAGCGUGGGGAGCAAACAGG